GACUACUGGGGUAUCUAAUCCUGUUUGCUCCCCACGCUUUCGCGCCUCAGCGUCAGUCUCUGUCCAGUAAGCCGCCUUCGCCACCGGUGUUCUUCCUAAUAUCUACGCAUUUCACCGCUACACUAGGAAUUCCGCUUACCUCUCCAGUACUCAAGUAAAUUAGUUUCAAGUGCACUUUUCCGGUUGAGCCGAAAACUUUCACACCUGACUUAAUAUACCGCCUACGCGCCCUUUACGCCCAGUGAUUCCGGACAACGCUUGCCCCCUACGUAUUACCGCGGCUGCUGGCACGUAGUUAGCCGGGGCUUCCUCCUCAGGUACCGUCAUUUUUUCUUCCCUGAAGACAGAGUUUUACGACUCGAAAGCCUUCUUCACUCACGCGGCGUUGCUGCGUCAGGGUUUCCCCCAUUGCGCAAUAUUCCCCACUGCAGCCACCCGUAGG
rnacentral:rRNA from 1 species